rnacentral:lncRNA from 1 species
AAAAAUUGAUUAUUGCAAUUUGCAACAAAGCACUGUUAAUGUCAUAUAUAUGUGUGUCCUUCAAUGACCUCUUCAUGGUUAGCAAUGUCCUAUAUUCUAAACCUAUGUGAUAUAAACUUUAGGGUACAACCACGACAUUUUUUGAGCUAGCUAGGAUGAUUUACGACAUGCUUUAAGACCAAUAUGGUCGCCACGAGGAAAUGAAAUUUAUGCAGUUGAC